CAGCUGCACGGUGUGCACUCUAAUCACUAACUAGCGUUACGUUAUUGUUGCUAGCUUGUUCACGAUCAUUUUUAUUAGUCAAAAGUAACUUUUCAAGAAGACGCUGGCCUCGGGGAAGUGUCUUUCUAUCGCCUUUUCUGCCCCGAAUGUGAUGACACGUGACGUUUAAUGGCGACUUUCUCUCCGCUUAGAAACCAACCGUUCGCCCCAACAGUGAUGCGAGGAGAGAGGACUGGAAGCCCUGAAGCACUCUAACUAAGAACAUCCUUCCCCAGGAUUACGGCGAAGGAAGCAGCAAAGCAAGCACUGAAGGGAUUAUGGAACAGCAGCCGAGGGAUCAGAGUGGGAAGUUGCACCUCAACAGAGCAGAGGGCCGCUGUGGCCCACGGAAGAGACUCGGUCACAGGUUAGAAAACGUUGGCUCCUCGCGGCUUUACCGAAAUUCCAUGUCCCCCGACUUCACGUCCCCCCCCCCAGUGGGUAUUAAUGUUCAUUUGAACAGUGGAAAGGUGGACAAAGAGAACGCCACAAAGGGGAUUUGAACUCUGGCACACGCAUGGAUUAAAGGCAGAAGUUAUUAAAACAGCUUCCACCUGGGAUCCAAAUGAGAAAUUAGUCAUGUGACCUCAGGACCUGAUGAAAUGAACACGCUUGCUUCUGUUGGGACCCGAUCGGAGCGUGUUCUUGACAUGUUUAUGGGCAGAGGGAGGAAAAAGCAACCAUGUUGAGUCAUUGGAAGUCUAUCUUUAAUUGGCGUCUACAUUCGUGCCACCUGCAGGGAGCAAUGUGAUGGAGUCAAUGGUCAUUUGCACUGUGCUCCUGGAUGGAUGAGGGAGGUGAUUAGUCAAUUCAUUAUUUCAUUGAAAAUAGUUAUUUGACUUAAUCGUUGGACUUUUGGUUUGAGAAAAGAGCACUUUUCAGUUGGUUUCCAUGUGCAAUGUAUUUCAAUAGGGGAAU